rnacentral:rRNA from 1 species
AAUAAACGCUGGCGGCGUGCCUAACACAUGCAAGUCGAGCGAGAAAGCUCCUUCGGGAGUUAGUAAAGCGGCGAACGGGUGAGCAACACGUGAGAAUCUACCCUUUAGUGAAGAAUACCCUCGAGAAAUCGAGGCUAAUACUGCAUACGUCCCUUCGGGAGAAAGAUGGCCUCUUUGCUAUCGCUAAAGGAUGAGCUUGCGUACUAUUAGCUAGUUGGCGGGGUAAAGGCCCACCAAGGCAAUGAUGGUUAACCGGCCUGAGAGGGUGUACGGUCACACUGGAACUUAGACACGGUCCAGACUCCUACGGGAGGCAGCAGUGAGGAAUCUUGCGCAAUGGGCGAAAGCCUGACGCAGCGACGCCGCGUGGAGGAUGACGGUUUUCGGAUUGUAAACUCCUGUUAAGCGGGAAGAAAGCCUUGUUUCUAAUACAAGCAAGGUAUGACGGUACCGCUAGAGAAAGCACCGGCUAACUUCGUGCCAGCAGCCGCGGUAAAGU